UACAGAGGUGGCAAGCGUUGCUCGGUAUCACUGGGCUUAAAGGGCGCGUAGGCGGUGCGGUGCGGUUUCGGUGAAAUCCCUCGGCCCAACCGAGGAACAGCCGGGGCUACGGCCGCGCUAGACGGCAUCAGGGGACAGUGGAACUCCCGGUGGAGCGGUGAAAUGCGCAGAUAUCAGGAGGAACACCGAUGGCGAAGGCAGGUCUCUGGGCCGAUACUGACGCUGAGGAGCGAAAGCGUGGGGAGCGAACAGG
rnacentral:rRNA from 1 species